GGUCUAAGCCGUUCUACCGCCGCGGUUUUGGCCGGGGAGGAAAGUCCGGACAGCAUAGAGUGCCGUACUUCUUAACGGGAAGGCAGCUGGUUGGAAACGUCCAGUUGACAGCAAGUGCCACAGAAAAUAUACCGCCUGGCAUAUUUUUUAUAUCAGGUAAGGGUGAAAAGGUGGGGUAAGAGCCUACCGCUCGAUUGGCAACAAACGAGGCAGGGUAAACCUUACGGGCUGAAAGAUCAAAUAGGUGCUGGUUAGUGAGGUUACUCGCCUCCGUCUCCCUUGGGAGGCAUCAGCAUGGGUAGAUCGUUAGAGGCUGUGGGUGACUGCAGUCCUGGAUAAAUGGUAGAAGUUUCGUAAAAUUCGUUUUACGAAAUACAGAAUCCGGCUUACAGGCUUAUACUUUUU
rnacentral:RNase_P_RNA from 1 species